rnacentral:rRNA from 1 species
GAACGCUGGCGGCAUGGUUAAAGCAUGCAAGUCGAACGGUUAAAGCCCCUUCGGGGGUGUAUAAAGUGGCGUAAGGGCGAGGAAUACGUUUCCACGUACCCCGAGGUCGAGGAUAGCCCAGGGAAACUUGGUGUAAUACUCGAUGUGGUCCUUCGGGAUCAAAGGCUUCGGUCGCCUUGGGAGCGGGGAACGUCCUAUCAGGUUGUUGGUGAGGUAACGGCUCACCAAGCCGCAGACGGGUAGCGGGUGUGAGAGCACGGCCCGCCGCAUCGGGACUGAGACACUGCCCGGACUCCUACGGGAGGCUGCAGCAACGAAUCUUCCGCAAUGCGCGAAAGCGUGACGGAGCAAUGCCGCGUGCAGGAUGAAUCCCUUCGGGGUGUAAACUGCUGUCAGGGUUCAGCAACACAAUGAGCAGACCCAAAGGAAGGGCCGGCUAACUUCGUGCCAGCAGCCGCGGUAAUACGAAGGGCCCGAGCGUUGCGCGGAAUCACUGGGCUUAAAGCGUACGUAGGCGGACAAGAAGGUAUCUUGUGAAAGCCCUCGGCUCAACCGAGGAACUGCAGGGUAAACCGCUUGUCUUGAGACAAGUAGGGGCUGUCGGAACGAUAGGUGGAGCGGUGAAAUGCGUUGAUAUCUAUCGGAACGCCAAAGGUGAAGACAGGCAGCUGGGCUUGUUCUGACGCUGAGGUACGAAAGCGUGGGGAGCGAACGGGAUUAGAUACCCCGGUAGUCCACGCCGUAAACGAUGUG